rnacentral:rRNA from 1 species
AGAGAGAGACAUGCGUGCAUAUCAAUAAGCGGAGGAAAAGAAACUAACAAGGAUUCCCCUAGUAACGGCGAGUGAAGCGGGAAGAGCUCAAAUUUGAAAUCUUAAAGGGUUUCCCUUUACGAAUUGUAGUUUAAAGAAGUGUUUUCUGUUGAGGUUUUGGUAAGAGUUCUUUGGAAUAGGACAUCAUAGAGGGUGAGAAUCCCGUAUUUGACCUUUACUUUCAACUUCGUGAUACACUUUCAAAGAGUCGGAUUGUUUGGGAAUACAGUCCAAAAUGGGUGGUAAAUUUCAUCUAAAGCUAAAUAUUGGCGAGAGACCGAUAGCGAACAAGUACCGUGAGGGAAAGAUGAAAAGAACUUUGAAAAGAGAGUUAAACAGUACGUGAAAUUGUCAAAGGGAAGCGUUUGACACCAGUGUUGUUUUUCUGAAAAUCAAUUAAAGAACUGUUUAUGCUAAGUUGUUUAGACUUUAUCAGCUAACUGUUUAGUUUUGAGCUUUUCUUUAAUGCACUUUUCAGUUAACAAGUCAACAUCAAUUUCUUUUGCUGUAAAAAAGCUUGAGGAAGGUGGCUUGAGAUUCGUCUUAAGUGUUUAUAGCCUCUUGCCUAUGCAGUCGGAGAGAUUGAGGUCUGCAGCGUAGAUCCUUCGGGGCUAAAUGCAUUUGUGCUAAGUUAUAGCAUUUUAUAGACAACUUGUUGACUAUGAUUUGUCUUGUAGCUUACUCGCUUAUGUUAUUUUACCUACGCUUAGGAUGUUGACGCAUGAGAUAUACGC